GAUGAACGCUAGCGGCAGGCUUAAUACAUGCAAGUCGAGGGGCAGCAUGAGUGUAGCAAUACAUUUGAUGGCGACCGGCAAACGGGUGCGGAACACGUACAGAACCUUCCUUCAAGCGGGGAAUAGCCCAGAGAAAUUUGGAUUAAUACCCCAUAGUAUAGCGGAGAGGCAUCUCUUUGUUAUUAAAGAUUUAUCACUUGAAGAUGGCUGUGCGCCUGAUUAGGUAGUUGGCGGGGUAACGGCCCACCAAGCCUUCGAUCAGUAACUGGUGUGAGAGCACGACCAGUCACACGGGCACUGAGACACGGGCCCGACUCCUACGGGAGGCAGCAGUAAGGAAUAUUGGUCAAUGGACGAAAGUCUGAACCAGCCAUGCCGCGUGGAGGAUGAAGGGUCCUCUGGAUUGUAAACUUCUUUUUAUAUGGGACGAAAAAUGGGUUUUCUAACUCGACUGACGGUACCAUAUGAAUAAGCACCGGCUAACUCCGUGCCAGCAGCCGCGGUAAUACGGAGGGUGCAAGCGUUAUCCGGAUUCACUGGGUUUAAAGGGUGCGUAGGUGGAUUGCCAAGUCCGUGGUGAAAUCUCCGAGCUUAACUCGGAAACUGCCGUGGAUACUGGUAGUCUUGAAUAUCGUGGAGGUCAGCGGAAUAUGUCAUGUAGCGGUGAAAUGCUUAGAUAUGACAUAGAACACCAAUUGCGAAGGCAGCUGGCUACGCGAAUAUUGACACUGAGGCACGAAAGCGU
rnacentral:rRNA from 1 species